rnacentral:lncRNA from 10 species
GACAGGGUUAAGCAGUUUUUCAUAGGUUUAUUGGUGAUUCCAGUUUUCUCCUCUGGGGGUUGUUGAUAGGCUUUUGUCAUUUUUCUGUUUUUCUUAAUUGUAUCUAGGAAUUCUUUACACAGAGAUGCCACAAAGUUUAACUUUGGCCUCAGUACUCAGGAAAAGAUAUACUUGGUUUCAGCCUUGGCUUCAGGCUUUGAAAGACAGAGUAACAAAUAGCUACUUCUUUUCUGGCCCCUUCAUCAUCUGCUUGUUCAAUGGAGCUUAGGCCAGAGUCUUUCAAGAAAAAAAGUCUUAUUAGAGAAGUCUUCAUAUCUCGUGAGGAUGAAUUAAAAGCAGAAUCUCAACUUUGCUACCUUUAAAUGUCACGGAGAGAAAAAACUGCAAAACCAUGUGCAACAAUAUCCAUGAUAAAUCAUCUUUGAUCUCAACAUAACGGAGACUAUAAGGAGUAUAAAGACUAGAAGAAAGAGUAGAAGGUGAUCCACAAUCAAUUCAGAACCUGGUCUUCUAUGGUGGCUCACAGUUCCUGCACCCUACAAUAUCGUGGUAAUGAUGAAAGCUAGCCAUCUUGUUUAUUACAUGUUUCUCAGUACUUAAAUAUGGAGUCAGAAUUCUUUCACCACCGUGGGACUCCCAGGCCCCUCACUGUGGUACUUCUGUUGCUGGCACCUGGAAAGCCUGUUAGAGCACCUAGAAAGCCUGUACCUCUGUUGGGAGUGCACAUCUACUACUUCGAGUUGCCUUCUCCAUAUCUGUUAUCUUGGCCUACUGGUGACUUUCCAUCAGUCAUGUUAAGUUGCCAAAUAUGGUACCUAGAAUAUCAUAGAUUCUUAAUAAGUACUAUGAGAAUCAAUAUAGACAUAAUAAGCAAAAUCAAAAUCUUUAUCAUCUUAUUAGAUAUGGAAAAAAACUACAGAUACGAUGCAAUAAAAUUCCAACUGGACAAAUGCGUCAUUUACUUCAGGACUCUCUUAAAAGCAGCACAUUUUAAUUUUGGUCACUUUUUUCUGUUAGAAUAAUUUCCUUCAUAUUUAGCCAAAUUCUGCCUCCUUACCAUUUUUCCAGCAAGUCCCAUUUGUCCCAUGUAUGUUUUCAGAGUAAGUAUAAACAUAUUUUUUCCUACAUGAGCCCUUCAAGUAUUUAAAUAUCUUUAUCUCUUCUUUAUGUCUUUUCUUCUUUUAUCAUCUUUUAUUACACAAUUCAUUUUCCAGACAUUUUAAUUUCAUGUGGCCACCUUCAGAGUACAUCAUAUCCUAAUUCCUUUUAUAAUACGUGUUAUUUAGAAUCUAAAAGCAUCCCUUUUCUGGCCUGACUGCCUAAGGACCAUAGGAUUACCAUCUCCCUUAUUGUUUCCAGAACUAUGCAUCUUGAAAUCCACCUCAGUUUGCACACAGCAUUUAUCCACUACAAUUUGCCCAUUUAUGACUAAUAUUGAGCUUUUGCUUUUUACC